rnacentral:lncRNA from 1 species
CGGUCGCAGGCGGCAAGGUGGUGGAUGAGCUGCUGGAGGCCACGGCAGGUGGCGGGGUUCGGGCAAUGGGUGGGGUCACGCGGCGGCGGUCCGCGGCCGGAUGGCCCGACCUCGGUGCAGCCCUCCGCGCAGAUGUGCUGCAAGCACUCCAUGGCCUCGCUCAGCUCCGUGUAUACUUUCUCCUCCUCCCUCUUCCGCCGCCGCCGCUUCUGCCUCUGAGAUCAUUCGUAUAGUACGCGCCGUCAAUAUCAACUAAUGCCGGAAGGAUAAAGAUCGGAGUGGUGCGAUGUCGGUACCAGAUGGGCGUCUUGGAGGGAUUGGAGGAUGUCGAGCUCGAGCCAGGGGUCGUUGUCCUGGAGGAAGCGCCACGCCUCGGUGCUCUCGACGGCGGCGUAGUCCCUGGCGAUGAGCCUCAGGCAGCGGAGGUGCAGCCAGGGCGCGUCGCACCGCCGUGCCAGCACCAGCACGUCCACCACCCCCUCCGCCGUCAGCCGCGAUGCCAGCGCCCGCUCGCACGCCCGCUUCAGCCACCCCACCUGGUACACGUGCGACAGGACCAGCAAGUGCACCCCGUGCUCGCCCACCUCCGUCGCCUCCUCCCCCUCGACCGCAGGCGUCACACAACUCCUGUAGUGAUGAAUCUUACCAUGAGAAAUCCAACACCGACAGAGAUUGAACUGUGGAGUCCUAAAUGCAUCGUUGGAGAGGCAGGUUUCAGAUCUUGGCGGCUAGCUCUCAUGGUGUGGACCUACAUGGCAGAGGUGGGAUCGUCCAUUGUCCUUGCAAUGGGGUUCUCGAGAAAAUAACAGGUGAACAGGCAUGAUGAUGAUGAUUCAAAGUGGAGGUUGAAAUCUGUGGAGCACGAGAAUUGCGUGGUUUGGAUCAAUAACAGGACUAACAUCGCAAUCAAAACAGAGCUCUUUUCUACCCUCUCUUUGAACUCUCUCCUGUGGUGGUGGUCGUGGUGGUGCCAACCCUGUCCCAUCUACGUCAUCACACGGAGACCUUUAGCACCACCGCCGCCGCACUAGAAACCAAGGUUGCAUUGGUUGGUGGAGGCUUUUCCGAUUUGAAUGGUACAGACUUGCUUCGGAGUUAAGGAAUCAAGGAGAUGACCGACGAACCUGGCGGAGUAGAGCAGGCGAACGAAGGCACACACUGCGUCGUGAGGAACUCCAAGUAUCGGAAUCACUCUUCCUUCUCCCCC